UUCAUUCACUCAUUAAUUACAUGGCCCAGGGAAGGAAGGGGAAGAAAAAACUCAUGAAAAUGUUCAUGUAAAGUUAAUUGCUGCCUAUGCUCUUACUAAUUGAAGUAGCUCAGUUGGUUUUUACUUAGGUACCUGUGUAUGUUUAAAACGGGAUAUGGCACAGUAUAAACUAAGCCACAUCACAACCUAACGAUCUGGAAAAUCUUGGUUUAAUAAACAAAGCUGGCUUUGAGUUACUCAGGAGAAACGUACAUUUGCCCACGCCCACUGACAUACAUGCACACACUCACACACACACACACGCCCAAAUCACUAGGAUCUCAGACCUUGUGUUCAUGUCUUCUCCUCCAUAGUUCAAAUUAAAUAUAGUUUCAGUCUCUUGCUCUCUCUCUUCCUCUCUCUUUCUCUUAUUAAAUUUAUUUUUAACAGCACCUUAAAAAAAAUAAUAAACACACCCCUCUGUACCACUCCUAUGCCAGGUGCAGCCAGGGGCAAAUUUUUACAGCUGAAUUACAUGACCUGAAAAAUACGAAGCACAUAAUGAGGACAUUGAGAGACACCCAUCCAUAGCGCUGGGCCAACGGCUGGUGUAAUAACAUUCCUGGAGAGCGCAGUAGCCGGAGCAGCAGCAGAGUCAGGGCUGGAGCCCUUACUCAGCAUGAGGAAUUAUAUAUAUCUUGGAACUCUUUCCCGAACCUAAACAUUAUUGCUAAGAAAGGGAUAACAGUGUGAGGGGCCAUGGCUCUCCAGCCCGGGCUCACACACUGCUGCGUAUGUCAGUUUCCACAUCAGGCUGAAGGGAAACUCACCAGACCCAGCUCUGCCUAGGACAGGGGCGAGGACGCGGUUGAAGGCCUGGGAAGUCUUCAGCUCUGUUGUGGCAUUGCCAUGGCAGUGGGACGACACUUGGCACGCAGCAGGCCCAGGCUUUGUCACCCAAGGACCCCCAGAAGAUUCUGCCUCGGCCAGUCCUAUUUCAGGAAUGAAGGUUUGGGGCAGCCUCUUUGGAAACAGACAAAAGAUCCAGGUAACAGAAAGGCAGCCUGCAGGCACCCAGACUUCUUACCUCCC
rnacentral:lncRNA from 1 species